GAAUGGUAUACGAGCUUACUAUAAGAUUCGCCACGGACAUCUUAGAGCUGGUGACGGAGCAACCCGCGCUUAGUGUGAUUCAAGUUUUCGGCUACGUUGGAGGCUAUCUGGGAAUAUGGCUUGGGUUUUCUCUUCUUCGAGUUCUCGAGUACUACCACAACCUUAUCAGAAGGAAAUGUGGAAAAUACCGUUGUCUUUCACGCAGCGCACAUCAUAAGAGUGCAGUUCCACCACUGCGUGCCAACAGAGAAGACAGAACGAAGGGCAUUUUUUCGAUAUCAAGUGCAGAGCUGAAGUGAC